UUGGCAGCAGAUGUUAGCUCAGGGCUCAUCUUCCUCAAAAAAACAAACAAACAAACAAAAAGAAAAUAGCAUGUCUAAUUCUCUUAGUGUAUGUUCUUUGAGAGCAGGUGUCAGUGGCUGAAAACACCCUCCCUUCUCAGCAGAGCUUUUCAUUCCUGUCCCGUGGAACUCUCUGCUUUUCUAGGGAUCCUUUAGAAUGAAAGUCUGGCCCUGUUGGUCAUGCUUAAUUUGCAUCCAGCUCAUCUUCUUCAGCACUAACAACAUCAGGGAAUGGAAUUUGGGGCAUUAACAAAAGUGCAUGAAAGAAAACACUGUAGCCUCAAAAAUAUGGAGAUACUUUCUAUUUUUCAGAUCCUCCAUCUAGUUAGGAUCUGAACUCCAGGUAGACGGCUUUGAACUCUUAGUAUAGGAAUGGUGAAGAUGCAUUUACUCUGUAAGUGUUUAUUGGGUACCCACUGUGUGCAAGAUAUGAUCAGUCCAACGAUCUCUGAGAGGAAGAGGCAGGGUGGUGUUCUAAUCAAAAACGGUCUUUGAGCCAACUCCGUGUUCUUACGAAAGGGCUGGCCUUGUUGAUUUGGAGUUUGUGCACCGCCCACAAUUGUUUAAUGAUAGACAGGAACCCAAGUCUCCCUGGAGUUAUAUCCCUUUAGUCAAUUAAUUAUUCAAAAGAUUACUUCCACUUUAUUGCAGGAGGAAAAAAGAUACUGUCCUUUGACUUCUUCUUAGCUUUCUUAGGAACGACAUUUUUUUCUGGCAUGCUCUGGCAGAAAAAGGAAACAGAUUUUGUUUUGAAGAGGAUGGAAGUAUUGCAUUCCAGGGCUUUCCACUCUGGUGGUUGAUUCUGAUAAGCAGAAUUUGGGAAAUGUUGCUGGAAAAAAAUGACUUUUUCUAAUCUUCCAUUAAAAUGUUGUGCAUGACUUUUCUCUAUAUUAAUUUAACAGAAUCUUUGAUUUGAGCAGUUUUCCUUCAUGGAGGGAAACAUUUCAGUUCUGGAUAUUGCAGUGUGCUAAAGUGGAAAGAGCACAGACGAGAGAGAGGAAUGGGCCUGGAUCCAAACCCCGCCCUACCACUCCUUGGUUAUGUCUUAUUUUCUGGGUCACUUAACCUCCCUAAUGUUUCAGUUUCCAGAAAUGAGAUAAUAUCCACCUGUAUCAGUCAGGGUUCUUAGUUUACAACAACAGAAACCAACUACACAUUUAAUUGCAUACUUAAGCAGAAAAGGAAUUUACUGAAAGCAUAUUGGAUGGCUGACAGAAUCUUGAGAAAGGAAAAUGCGUAGGAACAAGCAAGGCCAGGCAGCUGCCAGGACCAAAGUGGAAAUAUGUUACGAAGCCGGUCUGGUGGAGAUAGUAAUGCCUGCUGGCUGAUGCUGCUGGCAUGGGACACUGGAUGCUAGUUGGCACCACUAGCUCACAGAAACUCAGGAUUGCUGCCCUCCUGCCCUGCCUGCAGAUAUGGCGCAUUGUCUGUGGUCUCUGCUCUUUAGCGUCACCAACUUCCCAUUUAAUGUUCGGGGUAAGGUGUGUCUUCUUGGAGAACUUAGGUCAUCUGCUAUUCCCUAGCAGUGAAGGAGUCUGGGAAAACAAGUAUUUCAGCUUUUAUAGUGAGAGAUGGGCUCUUCCCAUCAACAAAACUCUUAAGACUGGAAAAUCUCCAUACAUAGGAAGGAGAUUCAGAUGCCAGGUAGCCAAAAAAACAAACCAAAACUACUACGAUUCAUCCCUUUGGUGAUCCAAAAUCGACCUACCUCCUUUUUUCUAUAUUUACACCCAAAAGAAAAAAAUUCUCCCAUACAACCUAAUGCAACUGUACCUCGUAUAAUUUAAAAUGCUCUCCCCUUACCCCAAGGGGCAUACAUCAGUCUCAUCAGUUAUUGUGUUCAUCUCCACAUUCAGGAUCUCUCGAUGGUGUCCAUUUCUUCUUCAGUUCUGACAUGAUCCCAUAUCAAUGUUUGAUAAUAUAUAGACUGUGUGGUAAAGUUAAUUAUCACCAGCAUAUCCUAUAUAAAAUAGAGACAGAAAAUUAGUUUAUAUAUGUAUUUAUACAUAUGGCAUAGCAAGAAAGAGAACAUGGAUAGAUGCUAUAUUCCAUGCCUUUGCAUCAGGUUACAAGGCCAAAGGAAGUAUUUCUGACUCCCUCCUUCAUUCCCCAUUUUACAUCCUUGGCUGAACUGAUGUUCUUCAUACGGUGGUACGACCCAAACCUCCACUCCUGGGAGAUCUAAGUCCUUGGCAAUCUUGUCCAUAUAUCUUUUCAUUCUUGCCACUGGACAUCUCAGUACUAGGAGUUACUUCAAGGUUCUCCUGGAUCCAGCCAUUCUCUUCCCAUCCUCGUUGUGUGUCAGCAUCACUAUUUCAUCUUGAUAUUCAGGAUCAGUCAUCUCAAACAAUACUGUAACGAGCACUGUAACAAAGCCUGUCUCACCAGUGGCAUCAGGAGUCUGACCUUGUAAUUGGCUCUUCAGGGCAUGCUGAGAUCUACGCUAGCGAACAGCUCAGAGAUAAUGAGUGUCUGUGUAGGUGGAGUAGAUGAACGUAGUGCUUCCCUCAAGUUUCAGGAUCAUCAGGGGAGCCGGAACAGUCUCACUGGGCAGGGAGGGAGUGGCUGCUUUAGUUGGUGAGGAGGGUCAGUGAAAGUGAGGUUUUUGAGCACUCGGAGUUGGCCAAAUGCUGGCGUAUUUCCCAAUUCUAGUCCUUGGGGUUAAGUUCUUUCCACUCUACUCUAAAUCGCUCACAAAAGAUCGCGCAAGGCUGUGGAAUGAACAUACAAUUGGAUGACCCACAGAUUCAAAGUUUUUGUUGUUUUCUGACUGUCUCAGUUUUGCAGCCAUGAGAGAUAAGAGUUUUGUCUUUAUUUUUUUUUAACGUUUUUUUUAUUGUGGAAAAAUACAUAAGAGAGCUUUAUUUUUUAAGUUACAUAAAGUUUUGGAUUUCUGUCCUUGUUAUGAGGGUAAAACGUAAGACUCUGAGCUUACGUUGUCUGUCUUUAUUCUGUCCGGUGACAUUAGACGAAACCACUCCUCUCCACAGUCCUUGAACACCCCAUGCUGUUCACGUUGCUGGAUGACUGCUUUGUCCCUCAGAUCUUCCCUUCGGCGGCUUCUUUAUUCCACGGACACAGGUAACUAUUCAGCUACACUGUGGCUUCUCUACUCUCUUCUCCAGCUUGCCGGCCAGACUCUGAGGCCUCUGAGGCCCUAGUGGCUGCAGCUCCACAAGAUGGAAGGGACUAGGUUUCUGAAACACUGUGCUAAGUGCUGUGGAUACAGUGGUGAAAUCGUCAGCAGGAUGGACACUAUCCCUGCCCUCUUGUGGCUUUUUACAACUCUAUGUACUGGCUCUAGAAGUGGAAGGGCCACAGUUGGAAGGAGCCUGGGUCCCUGAAUCACCAAGUGGAGGAAAACCACCAGCUUACCGGCAACACCUGCAUUGGACUAGUUAUGUGGGACACUCGCUAAAGGAACCCAGCCACCAUGCUGUGAGGAAGCCCAAGCUGCCUGGUGGACAGAGGAACAAAGAGCCAGCACCAAAUGACAAGCCAACACGUACUUGUGGAGAGCCUACCUGAGCAAGACCCUCUUCUAGGGAGUGAGGAUUCGGCAGGGAACAAAAAGUCCCUCUCUCACGGAGAGCACAUCAUACACAGAUCUGCCCUCAGCUAACAUCUGCUGCCAAUCCUCCUCUUUUUGUUGA